rnacentral:ncRNA from 2 species
UUCCAUCUUCGGGGCAGGGUGAAAUUCCCGACCGACGGUAAGGGACCCACUUGGUGUUCUAAGUCCGUGACCCGCUUGGUACGUUUGUACCGAUCGGUGGACCUGGUGAGAAUCCGGGACCGACAGUUACAGUCUGGAUGGGAGAAGAUGUAG